rnacentral:rRNA from 1 species
UACAGAGGGUGCAAGCGUUAAUCGGAAUUACUGGGCGUAAAGCGCACGUAGGCGGAUAAUUAAGUCGGAUGUGAAAUCCCUGGGCUUAACCUAGGAACUGCAUUCGAUACUGAUUUGUCUUGAGUAUGGUAGAGGAUAGUGGAAUUUCCGGUGUAGCGGUGAAAUGCGUAGAUAUCGGAAAGAACACCAGUGGCGAAGGCGGCUAUCUGGACCAAUACUGACGCUCAGGUGCGAAAGCGUGGGGAGCAAACAGG